AAUAAUGUUCCAUCAAGAUCGAAGAUAAAUGUUUUAUUAUGCAAGUUUCUCACCCCUUAAAUUAUAUCAUACAUUUAACAAAAAAACAAAAAAAUGGGGAUAAAUUCCCCAUUUUCUGGUGGAGUCGAUGGGACUUGAACCCACGACCUCUACCG
rnacentral:antisense_RNA from 1 species